UACGUAGGGUGCGAGCGUUAAUCGGAAUUACUGGGCGUAAAGCGUGCGCAGGCGGUCUGGUAAGACCGAUGUGAAAUCCCCGGGCUUAACCUGGGAACUGCAUUGGUGACUGGCAGGCUUUGAGUGUGGCAGAGGGAGGUAGAAUUCCACGUGUAGCAGUGAAAUGCGUAGAGAUGUGGAGGAAUACCGAUGGCGGAGGCAGCCUCCUGGGCCAACACUGACGCUCAUGCAUGAAAGCGUGGGGAGCAAACAGG
rnacentral:rRNA from 1 species